CCCCCCCCCCCCCCCCCCCCCCCCCCCCCCCCCCCUGACUCCACAGGCUGAGCACUGCUUUUGGGGGAUCCACUCCUGAGAGAUGGAAAAACUUUUCUCUAAGGGCCUCCAACGGGAAAGUACAGAGCUACAGGACACAAGAAACCCCAUGAGCAAUCUGAACUGACGAUGCAAAUCCUGAAGGAAAUGCUGCAGGGAGGACAAGGUGGGCGCAUUUCCCUCAGCCUUCUCCUGAGGCUCAGCAGCCGGGGGCUUUCUCUGCACAUCUGGACACGCCGUGCCCGGCACAGUGGGAAGGGAUCCAUGGCAGCCUCGCUGCCCCGCUGCUGCUGUCACACCCUGCAGGGCUGUUUCCCAGCCUGGCCUGGCUGCAGCUUCUCCCCAGCCUCUGCAGGAAGGCCACUGGCAUCAGCUCACAUGGAGCCCAAAGUGCCCCACGGGCCAUGAACACCCUGAGAUCCCCUGAAAUUUCCCUGUCUUGGGGUAGAUCUGAAAAGGCAGCUGUUUGGAGAAGGGAGGGCCCUGCUGAAUCUGAAAAAAUUAUAUGAUUUCCUGAUCCUUAUCCACAACGUUUACAAGGACUGUCUCCUGAAGAUGCCACCUCCCCAAUGUGGAAUGGUUCCAUCUGAUCCUGUUGUCCCUUUCUCCAGUGAUGAAAGGAAAGACUGUGCUGAAGGCUCUGUUUCCCGGAGAAAGCCGUGGUUCUGUUCCAGCCAUGGCUGCAGGAAGGGAGGAGAUGCCAGGCACAGUCACAGGAGGUGAGCGUGCUAGGAAGACUUCUCCAGCAGCUUGGCGUCAUAAAGAUUUGCAGCCUCUGGAGCCUCCUGCAGAUGUGUCUGCAUGGAAAACUUUCCCUAAUCCCUUGGUGGAUGCUACACAGAAGCCCAGUUCCCAUCACAGGGGUUUCCUGAGAAGGAAGAACAAACAAAUAGAUAAAAGUGAGUCUCUGGAGGCAUCCGAUUUUCUGGCCCAGAUGCUGAGUGAUCUGGAGAGACGCCGUGGGAUGGACAGAGAGCCUCUAUGGAAGGCGACAUUUCCUGAAGGAAGGGAGGCAAUGCCAGGCACGGGCACAGGAGAUUGGGAUCAGGACAUGGAUUAUCUGAAAGCCUUGGCACAGGACAGUUUGAAGUCCUUGGAGAAUGCCGGAGAUGAACCUGUUGGUGAAGGUGAUCUGGCUUCCCAACCCACAUCCAGGACUGAGAUUCAGGGUGCUGGUGAGGUGAUAGAGCAAAAGUCUGUGCUGAAGGAAGCAUUUCCCAGAGGAAGCAGUGGCUCGGUGCCAGCCUCUCCUGCAGGAGGGACAGCGAUGCCAGGCACGGGCACGGGCACAGGCACAGGAGGUGCUGCCGGCACCUCAACACAUGUUCCCAAUUCCCAGAAGGAAGAUGGAAAGGGUUUCUGUCAGGAUAUACACUGCUGGCUAAAGUUAAUGGCAUUUCUGGUUGUUUUGGAGCUUGUCUUCAUGUCAUGCUGUAUCGGAACCUGGUAUUACUGGAAGAGAAAACGGAGCGCAUCUGCAGCUUCACAGGACCGGACAAAGCCAUCAGUUGGAGACACCUUUGCCUGUCAUCGGCCAUCCCCAUGCCAGUGUCAAUUGGCCCUGUCACAGCUGCCUUUCCAGCUUGUUGCUCUGCUGCCACCACCCAGAACAAGACCCUCUGUCCCCAGAGGUGCUGGCCCUGGUGUUCGGCCAGGGCUGAAGGUGGCCCCCUCCUUCCAGGGAGUUUGAGUCCAGCAGCACCUUUGGGGUUCAGCUCUGGUGUCUGGGUUGUACCACCAGCACUGGCUGAGCUCCUUGUUUGGGGACAGCCAGUGCUGGGUAAGCAGCAGUCAGGCAUCAGGCUGCUAAGACACAGCCAUGUAGUUUUUUCUUAAUUUUUCAUUUUUAGAAAUUAGAAAUUUUUAGAAAUAUUUAGAAAUAUUUCUUGUAUAUUGAUAUCCCCAAAUAUUUUUCCUUAUUUCCACAUUAGUUUAGGAUUUUUCAAAGUAGUUUUAGAAUUCUGAAAAGCUUAGAACACUUUUACACAUCUAGAAUAAAGUAUAAAAUUGAAUUUAAUUGCUACUCUUUACUCUCGGAAGAACUAAGACACUCCAAGACACUUAUCCUGCUCCAAAGGUUCUUUUCCCACUCGAGAUUUGUACCUAGUCACAACCAAAUUACACAAAAACUUUUCACAGAUAUUUUCCAGAAUUUCUGACAAGCUCAUCUGUUUGUCUUUAGAGGGAAAUUUUGAGCACAGUGGGAAUCUUGUGAAGUCACUGUCUUUGCUUCUGAAGGAACUCCCUCAGUUCUAGAGCAGGGGUUUCUCUCAGCUUCCUGCCCAGCUGCGCUGCCCCCGGGCUCUCCUCCCGGCCCUCUGGGCUUUGUUGGGUGGCACAGCCUGUGCCAAGGGGGCCAAGGUGCCCCAGGCCCCAGCUCUGGGGGAGACAGAGAACGGCCUGGCUGUAUCCACGAGCUGCCAGCUCAGCUUGGUGGAAGCUGCUGUGGGCCAGGGCCAGCGCAGAGCUGGGCAGUGUAGCCCAGGCAACGUGGAGAGUCUUGGCUGACCUUGGUGUGUCCCUGGCCUCAGCAAAGGCUUGGAAGAUUUGCCUCCCAAGGCAUCCUGCUCAUUGGCUCUUCCUGCGCGCCUUGGAGAGAACAAGGUAGGCAUUUCUGGCAGCUGGGCAUUAGCAGGCUUUAAAACAGGGGCGUUGUGGAGCAAGCCCAGCUGAGAUAGUCUGAGAAGAGCCCAGUGCUCCUUGCUCCUCCCUGCUGACACCAGAUCAUUUGUGUGGUUUUGGGAUGAGCCUGGCUCUGUCAGGGGGUGCUACGUGGACACGAGACAUCCGCUCCUGUCCCGCUGGGUCCCAGCAGUGCCUCGCAGCAGUCCUGCACGCACACCAGGAUGCUGGCCAAGAGAGGUCCUGGAAACUGAGGCAGCUGAUUUUAAGCAUUUCCUGGUGCCUACAGGUCAAGGCCAACGGCGUUCCCUCAGGAUACAGCAGUCCUGAGGGUUCCCCCCAGAGCUGCCUGAUGCUGCCCACUCCUUGUGGCACCUGGUGCUUUCCUGUGGAAUGUUCCACCUCCCCCAAGAGUCAAGAGGCAGCUGGAGAAAGAGCUUGCCAGGCUGCUCUCGAUCCUUUCCCAGCAGUCCUGCUCAAGUGCAGAAGUCCGAGCUGAGCGGGACUGUGCAAAUGUAACAAGUGUGCACAGGAAGGGUUGGUGGGAAGGAUGAUCCAGGAACCAUAGGCCUGGCAGCCUGAGCUUGCUGCCAGGAAAGGCCUUGGAGCAGAUCCUCAUGAGUGCCAUCCCAUGGCACCUGCAGGGAACCAGGGGCUCUGCUGGAGGCUGGGAAAGCUCUGCAGAGGCAUGGGGACAGCUGGGGGUCCUGGUGGGCUGUUGACUGGAACAUUGCAGGGAUCUCAGAAUGUGCAUGGGUGACUGUGCCUGGCAUCGCCUCCCUUCCUGCAGCAGAGGCUGCCAAUGAGCCACUGCUUCCUCUUGGGAAUGCUUCCGUCUGGACUGGGUCUCCUUGCAGUUCUGGAGAAAGGGACAGAUGUGUGAGAUGGAACAGCCCUGCAGGGUGUGACAGCAGCAGCGGGGCAGCGAGGCUGCCAUGGAUCCCUUCCCGCUGUGCCGGGCACGGCGUGUCCAGAUGUGCAGAGAAAGCCCCCGGCUGCUGAGCCUCAGGAGAAGGCUGAGGGAAAUGCACCCACCACGGCGUCUCUUCAGAUCACUCAGCAUCUGCUCCAGAAGCCUGUCUGCCUCCAGGGAUUUCUUGCCUCCCAUGUAUUGGGCUUUGCCUGUUGGAGGACCUUAGAGCAAAGUAGUUCCCCUUCAUGUGGGUGGAUCCCACAAAAGCAGUGCUCAGCUUGUGGGGUCCGCAGGGACACACCACUCACCCCUGCGAUGGGAGCUGGGUUUGUACACAGCAUCCAGCCCUGGAGAUGGGAAAGUGCUCCCUGCAGACACACCUGUAACUCAACAGCCACAGAAGCUUCUGUCACCUGAUUCCUGCCAGGUUGUCAAUAAUUAUGCUAUGAAUGGAAGUUGAGAACUUAACUGCAGAAGCACCCAAGAGUUCCAAACUAUCUUCCACCUAACCUCCUGGAGAAGACUUCCCAGGAAUCUCACCUAGAAUAGAGCACAGACCAGAAGCAUUUCCAUGGUGUGCUGUGAUCCCCUUCUGCCUUAGGGAACUGGGCACGGCAAGGGAGGGAAAUGCACCAACCACGGUGUCGCUCCAGAUCACUUAGCAUCUGGUCCAGAAGUCUGUCUGCCUCCAGGGAUUUCUUGUCUGCUGUGUCUUGGGCCUUGCCUGCUGGAGGACCUUAGAGCAAAAUAGUUCCAUUUCAUGUGUAUGUGUCGGGUAAAGCCGUAGGAGCCACAUGUGAAUGGACAUGGCCAAAGCUGCAGAGGGGCCUGGGGAGCUCUGGGCUGGCUCUGGGCACUCUGCACACCCUUUCCAUGCCCUGAAUGCCCUGAGCAACAUCCCUGGAUGGGUGGCUGGAGCAGCCCAGGGCCCUCACCCUUUCCAUGGCCUGUGCAACAUCCCUGGAUGGGUGGCUGGAGCCACCCAGGGCCCCUGUGGGCUCUCUCCCUCCCAUAGAGGAAAGCCUCCCUAAAGCCCUACGCAAAACCACCCCCAACGCUUCCUGGGGAGAAGGGAGCGCUGUCCCGGGAAAGGGGAGCCAGGCCGCCGGCUCACCUGCUCCCCGCGCUGGCCACGGAGCUGCCUGGGCAGCCCUGGCAGGCAGGGCCACUGCCAGGAGGAGCAGGAGGAAGAGGCGCAGAGCAAGGGCCAUGGUGCCUUGCCCUCUGCCAGUCCCGCAGCUCUUGCUGCCACCGCUGUGCUGCCACCACUGUCCCAAUGUCAGCAGCACUUGUCAAGGACUGAGGGGCUGCACAUCGUGAUGCAGCAGAAGCACGGGGCUCUCUGAUGUCAGAGCCUGCUGUGACCUCUCUGGCGCUGGGACACAGGGCAGGCCUGGGUGGGGAUGGAGACCUGAGGGCUGGAAUCUUCCUUUUUCGGAAGGGAGCCCGUCCUGCACGGCAGUUCUGUCCAAGGGCUGGGACAGCCAACCCAGGUGGAGCUCACAGGCCUACGUUGUGUUCUGGACACUGGCAUGGGGACAGUGGGAGCUCACAUGCCCUGAGAACAGAUCACAUCCCAAGAUUUCUGAGCUCCUGAGGCACUGUUAGCCACAGCCCCCUGUGAUGAGGUGUGAGUGAUCUCUGGUUGGAGACAAGGGCAGGAUUCCCUCCUGGCAGCAGCUUCCCAGCUACAAAUUUGGCACCUUGGGGAGGCCAUGGCUAACACAGCCCUUUUGUUUCAUUGCAAAGGUGAAGCCUUCACUUCACCAUUGGCUCUUCACGUACAAUUUAUGGGUCUGCUUUCCCCUGGGAUUCUCAAGGGGGAUUGAUAAACAGGCAGUCAAUAAAUGGGUAAAACCACCCACCCUCUUAAAUGCUUUGAUAUGCCAAAGGA
ensembl:lncRNA